CAGGGGUGCGUGUGGGCGUGGCUAGGCUAUGGGCACAGCCCCUCCUGACCCAAGACUCCCCCUCUUCAGGGUCACAUGCUGAAUAUUCACCUGACCCCUUUUCUCCUCCUUGGACGAGGACUCCAGAGGCUUCGUGCCUGGGAGCCAGCCGCAUGUCUUGCUAUUCAAAGAAGAGAUGCAUCCUACCUCCAAACCUGCAAAGAUGGCAAGCCUUAUGUUGCUACUGAGCCUUAAAAUGAGGUAUGCUGGUCCAAAUUGAGAUGCACAGUAUCAACUGGGCAUGGUGUGAUGUCUAAUGUCUUUAAUACCAGCACUCAGGAGGCAGAAGCAGGCAGAUCUCUGAGUUCCAGACUAGCCUGGUCUACAGAGUGAGUUCCAGGGCAGCCUACAGGACUACACAAAGAAAUCCUGUCUUGAAUUUAAAGAAAAAAGAUGUGGUGGUGUGCUGUAUCUUAAGAAAAGAAUAUGAAGUAUUUCAUCAAUAUUUUUGUAUUGACUGUAUAUUGAAAUGAUGAUACUAUGACUCUUGUGUCAAAUAAAAUUUCAUUAUAAUAAGUUCACUUUUGAUUUGCCUUGUGAAAGAAUCUCACUACCUACCCCAGACUGGCUUCAAUCUUGUGAUCAUCCUGCUUUUGUUUCCUGAAUACUGGGAUUGCAGGCGUGCACCCACCCCCACACCUAGAUUUUGAUUUUACCUUUUAAAACCUAUAGACUAGUUCUUACAUAUGGCAUUUCUUGCUAAGCUUCACACUACACUUCUAUAGGACAGCACUGUUCUAGAAUUAUCUUUUAACAUUGACCCUUUUAUGAAUGCCUACAGGUCCUAUAACCUUAAAGUCAUAGCUUUAUAUUCUGCUUCUUCCCCACCCCUUCUUUGUGCAAAAUCAGCAGAAAGGAUUGAUUCAUUUAUCUUUUAAUCUCCCUACCCUAUGUCCCCAGAACCAAAACACCGGAAAGUUAUUACUUGAAACAACAGCCGAGGAAAUGGCAAACCUCAGUAGAAAAUCUGAACUAGGGUUCCAAGAAAUGAUUCCUAAUGUAUGACAGGACAACUGGCUUUAACCUCCUCUGCCCCCAGCAAUUUCCUGCUAUAAUUAUAACCUUUGUGUACAAGUUUAAAUGGGCACUCAUUUGACAAAAUAACAUUUGUCAAAAAAAUGGAGUUACUUCAGUCUGGAAAAGUUGCAACAUGACUAACUGUGGCUCAUGGUGAGAUCUCCAUCUCACAUACAUUCAAAAUUUGCACUUCUAUACCUGCCACUAGCAUAGAAAACUCACAAAGCACAUCCAGUAAAAGAAUUUUCCUUUUAUAUUAUUUGAAGCAUAUCUGUUUUCACAAAAAGAAAUGGUAAAUAAACACUAGACACAUUCUUCUUUACAGAAGCAAUGAUAUGAUUUAGGCUCAUCAUAUCUUAUAUCACAUACAAUAAGAGCUAAACAAAAUGCAUGGUAGUGUACCUUUGCUGUAUCUGAUUUUCUUUGAAACUUCUGAAAUAAAAAAUAUUAUCAAGUCCAAGUGUGGUGGUACAUGCCUUUAGUCCCAGCACUCCAGAAGCAGAGGCAGGUGGAUCUCUGUGAUUUUGAGGCCAGCCUGGUCUACAUAAUAAGCUAGGGCCAGCCAGGGCUGCAUAGUGAGACCUUGUGUCAAAUGGAAAAAUAUCACAAUACACACCUUUAAGAAAGACGUAUUUGAAUAUAUUAUUUGAGAAAGCUCAAAUAUUUGUAAAUGUAAAACUGUUCCCUGGGCUCCUCUUUAGAUAGAAAGUUCAAUGACAUGAUGAAGAAGGUGUUAAGAAAAUCUAUAAGGAACAAUGGGAAAUGUAGUGCAUUGUUUUUGCUCUUUUUACUCUUUGACCUUUUUGAGGGGCCCACCACCCAGCUCCCAAAUAAAUACACAUAGGCUUAUUCUUUGUCAUCAAUGCCCAACCUUAGCUUCACUUGUUUCUAGUCAGCUUUUCUUAAAUUAAUUUGUCUACUUUUUCCCUCUGGGCCUUUAUCUUUUUUACUUCUGUAUAUCUUACUUUCCUUCUUACCCGGUGGCUGUCUGUUUGGCUGGGUGGCUGGCCCCUGACAUCCUUCUCAUCAUCCUCCUUUAUCCUUCUUUUUAUACACUCUGCCUGCCAGUCCCUCCUAUCCUUGCUCCUGCCUUGCUAUUGGUCAUUCAGCUCUGUAUUAGACCAUCAGGUGUUCUAGACAGGCAAAAUAACACAGCUCCACAGAGUUAAAUACACCAUAAACAAAAGUCACACACCUUAAAAUAAUAUUCUCCCACAGGGAAAGGUAUUCUACAAUAUACAUACAUGAAAUUCAUCCUUUUUAGGAAUAUAUUUAUUUGUGUGUGUGUGUGGAUGUCAGAAGACAACCUCUGUGUUUGUGGGUCCUCACCUUUCACCUUGUUUGAGGAGGGGUCUCUUCCUUAUUUUCACAACUUGUAUGUGCCAGUCUAGCUGGCCUGUGAGCUUCCAUAGGUUCUUGGAAUUCAAACUCAGGUCCUCAUGCUUGUACAACAAGUGUUUUAACCACUGAGCUAUCUUUCCAGCCCAUGGGACAUUUUCUUCAGCAUUAUUUCCACGAAGGUAGGAUGGGGUCAUGAUAAGAGUAUAUCGAAAUUUCAGAUGUUUUAUCUCUCUAAGCUUCAAUUUUGUUUAGAACAGGGAUUGGUAUAUAAUAGUUCCUCUGUGGGUAGUUGCAAAAUAUGCUUUGAUUUCCUCAUCUUAAAUGAGAAUAAUAGUAGUCGUCUCAUUGGAUAGUUGAGAGGAGAUUCAAUGGGAAUCAUGUCUAGAGAGCAUUUAGUACAUUGUCAUUAGAAAGCCUUCAAUAAAUGGAGCUUUUGUUACCCAUUUCAGAAAGGGCGUGUUCCCGAAUAC
ensembl:lincRNA